UUCAGAUUGCUAUUUAUUGCAGGAAAGUGGGACAGCCCGGCGUUAUGUUCAGCACUCUAUGUAAAGUAGAGGCUGACUGACAC
rnacentral:miRNA from 1 species